GACGAACGCUGGCGGCGUGCUUAACACAUGCAAGUCGAACGGAAAGGCCCUGCUUUUGUGGGGUGCUCGAGUGGCGAACGGGUGAGUAACAUGAGAGUCACCUGCCCUUGACUUUGGGAUAACUUCAGGAAACUGGGGCUAAUACCGGCUAGGGGCUCCUGCUGCAUGGUGGGGGUUGGAAGGUUUCGGCGGUUGGGGAUGGACUCGCGGCUUAUCAGCUUGUUGGUGGGGUAGUGGCUUACCAAGGCUUUGACGGGUAGCCGGCCUGAGAGGGUGACCGGCCACAUUGGGACUGAGAUACGGCCCAGACUCCUACGGGAGGCAGCAGUGGGGAAUAUUGCACAAUGGGCGGAAGCCUGAUGCAGCAACGCCGCGUGCGGGAUGACGGCCUUCGGGUUGUAAACCGCUUUCGCCUGGGACGAAGCGUAAGUGACGGUAAUGGGAAAAGAAGCACCGGCUAACUACGUG
rnacentral:rRNA from 1 species